CCUACGGGGGGCUGCAGUGGGGAAUAUUGGACAAUGGGGGGAACCCUGAUCCAGCCAUGCCGCGUGUGUGAAGAAGGCCCUCGGGUUGUAAAGCACUUUCAGUGAGGAAGAACGCCUGGUGGUUAAUACCCAUCAGGAAAGACAUCACUCACAGAAGAAGCACCGGCUAACUCCGUGCCAGCAGCCGCGGUAAUACGGAGGGUGCGAGCGUUAAUCGGAAUUACUGGGCGUAAAGCGCACGUAGGUGGCUUGAUAAGCCGGUUGUGAAAGCCCCGGGCUCAACCUGGGAACGGCAUCCGGAACUGUCAAGCUAGAGUGCAGGAGAGGAAGGUAGAAUUCCCGGUGUAGCGGUGAAAUGCGUAGAGAUCGGGAGGAAUACCAGUGGCGAAGGCGGCCUUCUGGACUGAAACUGACACUGAGGUGCGAAAGCGUGGGUAGCAAACAGGAUUAGAUACCCUAGUAGUC
rnacentral:rRNA from 1 species